rnacentral:rRNA from 1 species
UUGAACGCUGGCGGCAGGCCUAACACAUGCCAGUCGAGCGGAUGAAGGGAGCUUGCUCCUGGAUUCAGCGGCGGACGGGUGAGUAAUGCCUAGGAAUCUGCCUGGUAGUGGGGGAUAACGUCCGGAAACGGGCGCUAAUACCGCAUACGUCCUGAGGGAGAAAGUGGGGGAUCUUCGGACCUCACGCUAUCAGAUGAGCCUAGGUCGGAUUAGCUAGUUGGUGGGGUAAAGGCCUACCAAGGCGACGAUCCGUAACUGGCCUGAGAGGAUGAUCAGUCACACUGGAACUGAGACACGGUCCAGACUCCAACGGGAGGCAGCAGUGGGGAAUAUUGGACAAUGGGCGAAAGCCUGAUCCAGCCAUGCCGCGUGUGUGAAGAAGGUCUUCGGAUUGUAAAGCACUUUAAGUUGGGAGGAAGGGCAGUAAGUUAAUACCUUGCUGUUUUGACGUUACCAACAGAAUAAGCACCGGCUAACUUCGUG